UACCCAGGCGUGGGAAGAAUUCACUUGA
rnacentral:piRNA from 1 species